UAAACCUGCCCUAGACAGGGGGAUAACUGCUGGAAACGGCAGCUAAGACCGCAUAGGUAUGGACACUGCAUGGUGACCAUAUUAAAAGUGCCAAGGCACUGGUAGAGGAUGGACUUAUGGCGCAUUAGCUAGUUGGUGAGGUAACGGCUCACCAAGGCGACGAUGCGUAGCCGACCUGAGAGGGUGACCGGCCACACUGGGACUGAGACACGGCCCAG
rnacentral:rRNA from 1 species